rnacentral:rRNA from 1 species
AUUGAACGCUGGCGGCAGGCCUAACACAUGCAAGUCGAGCGGAGUGGCGGACGGGCGAGUAAUGCCUAGGAAUCUGCCUGGCCGUGGGGGAUAACGUCCGGAAACGGGCGCUAAUACCGCAUCCUAUCAGAUGAGCCUAGGUCGGAUUCGCUAGUUGGUGGGGUAAAGGCCUACCAAGGCUACGAGCCGUAACUGGUCUGAGAGGAUGAUCAGGCACACUGGAACUGAGAAACGGUCCAAACUCCUACGGGAGGCAGCAGUGGGGAAGAUUGGGCAAUGGGCGAAAGCCUGAUCCAGCCAUGCCGCGUGUGUGAAGAAGGUCUUCGGAUUGUAAAGCACUUUAAGUUGGGAGGCGUUACCAGCAGAAUAAGCACCGGCUAACUACGUGCCAGCAGCCGCGGUAAUAC